rnacentral:sRNA from 1 species
UCGUAACAAGGUUUCCGUAGGUGAACCUGCGGAAGGAUCAUUGUCGAAACCUGCCCACAGAACGACCCGCGAACUCGUGACUGCACUCGAGGGUGUCCGACGCGGGGAGCUCCGGCUGCCCGCGGGGGCCCCCUCCUGCCGCGGGGAGCGGGCGAGGUCUCGCCCGCUGCCUGCGGCAGAACAACGAACCCCCGGCGCGAGCUGCGCCAAGGAAAAUUUAACGAGAGAGGGCGCUCCCGCGGCGAGCGGGACGCGUCCCCUUCUUUCGAUGAAAAUCCAAAAUGACUCUCGACAACGGAUAUCUCGGCUCUCGCAUCGAUGAGAAAUGCGAUACUUGGUGUGAAUUGCAGAAUCCCGUGAACCAUCGAGUCUUUGAACGCAAGUUGCGCCCCAAGCUUUAUCGGCCGAGGGCACGUCUGCCUGGGUGUCACGCAUCUUUGCCCCACUCCGCCGCCCCCUCAACCUGGGGAACGGUCGGACGGGCGGAAAAUGGCCUCCCGUGCGCUCCCGCUCGCGGUUGGCCCAAAUUCGAGUCUUUCGGCGACCGUGCCGCGACGAUCGGUGGUGAAAAUGCCUCUCGAGCUCCCGUCGCGCGCUCGCGUCCCCGUGCCACGGGCUCGCGGACCCUUGUAAGCGCCCUCUCUUUCGAGACGGCGCUCGCUUUGCGACCCCAGGUCAGGCGGGACUACCCGCUGAGUUUAAGCA